AAAUGGAAUGCUAGAACUAACCACCCAGCCAGACUAUGAAUCUGUGAAGCAAUAUAACCUCACCAUAGAAGCUGUGGAUUGUGACAAAACUCAACCAUGAACAGCUGUUACCACAGUUACAAUUGACAUAAAGGAUGAGAAUGACGAAGCACCUGUCUGCAAACCAUCUAAAUGUAAGGCAGUCAUUUUUGACAGUGUUGCUGCUGGAACAAACGUCAACAGCUUCAAGCUAAGCUGCCAUGACAGAGACUCACGCGAUACUGAAAUGCGCUUCGAGAUAGUUUCUGCAAAAGAAAGGUGUGACCGUUGUAUACACAUCUAUAAACACAUACAGUCCCAAUGACUGGUACA
rnacentral:lncRNA from 1 species